ACUAUAGAAGUAUCAUCCCCAUCAAGAUUUGUCAAUCCAGUUUUCACACCCAUAAUAUAAGAUUUAUCAUCUUUCCCUUUUCCAUAUAUAGAAUCAGCAGCACAACCAAAAUGGGUUAUGAAAUUAUGACUAUGGUCAUAAUAUACCCAAGAAUUGGUCUUGUUUAUUGAGUGGUUACAAAUAUCACAAAGGAGUGGUCCAGCUUCAUUUUUCAAAGGAUUUGAGUAUAAAAGGGAAAGUCCUUUUUCCUUGUGAAAUACUUUACAAGGCAUAGAAGCACACCCCAUAUGAAUAGCAAAAUCACAGUGAUUACAAGAAUAAUGAAAGUUAAACAACAAAGCAGGAUUGUCACCAACAUGACAUGCUUCGCAGCUUCAUUUUUCAAAGGAUUUGAGUAGAAAAGGGAGAGACCAGUUUCCUUGUGAAAUACUUUACAAGGCAUAGAAGCACACCCCAUAUGAAUAGCAAAAUCACAGAGAUUACAAGAAUAAUGGAAGUUAAAUAACAAAGCAGGAUUGUCACCAACGUGACAUGCUUUGCAAAUAUAGCCACUAUCAAUGGGAGUGUACUUGAGGGUUAAUUGAUGGCCAGGGUGAGCUAAAUGUUCAAUAAGUUGUGGGAAUUCAGAGCAGGAUUCGUGUAGAAAGUAUGUACAACGUUUGCAACCAUAGGCCAUGCCUGAAAUUAUUGUCUCGCAGAAAUAGCAGUGAACAAAAUCUGAUGCUCGUAACGAGUACAAUAACAAGUUAUGUCGAUGGCUGAAAUGUUUUCGCUCAUUAUUGCCAACUCUUUCUAUUUCAUCAAUUUUAUGAUUUGGUUGAUGAUUUUUGGCAGUAAUUGAUGUUUGUUGAAUGUUAUCUUCUGAUAUAUAACGGAAUCUACAAGGGAAUGGAUGAUCUCUAAGAGAGAUGAAUUCGUUCUUAUCCAUUUCUGUUGAAAGAUUUAAGGAAUUUGAGGAUUUGUAUUUUGGAGAUAAUGCUUCUGGCCAAGAUCCACCAUUAUAUAAAGGAGAAGUCUAAAUAUGUCAACGUCGCCUACUUUCUCCGAGUUUUGAUGACAAACUAAUUUAACUAAGUGUUCACAUUAAAUGUCUCAAUUUUACGCGUUGCUUGACUAGACUUUUUUAAAUUUUGUCUUUUCAAUUUUGUGUCUAGAAGAAUAAUUAAUAAUACUAGAAGAAGAGAAUCGUUACAUUAGUC
rnacentral:lncRNA from 1 species